rnacentral:tRNA from 3 species
AGUAGGGUCAGCUAAUCAAGCUACCGGGCCCAUACCCCGGAAAUGAUGGUUCAACCCCCUCCCCUACUA